GUCUGCCAUGAACAAGCAAAUGGCACCUGCAAAACAAGUUAAAGUGAUCAGAGAAUUCCAGAAGCAGUCAUCACAGUUGGACAUGACAAUUGAGAUGAUGUCUGAAUCCAUUGAUGAGACUUUGGAUAAAGAUGAAGCUGAAGAAGAAACUGAGGAGCUUACAAACCAGGUGCUUGACGAGAUUGGUGUGGACAUUGCAUCACAGUUAUCUUCAGCUCCAAAAGGCCGGAUUGCAUCGAAGAAAGUUG
rnacentral:misc_RNA from 1 species